AGAGUCCUGAAAUGUACGUUGUGUUACCUGAAGUUUUGACCGAACAUUAAUGAUUCGGGAGUCCAGAGUUUUCUGCAUGCGUAAAUGCCCCACCUAUACGGUAUAGGGACUUACAAUAGCGGAAACAGGACACCCACCUGCUAGUAGCGGGAUCAAAACGAAGGAUCAUAAGCGACGGCACCAUUGGGACUCUU
rnacentral:other from 1 species